AGGCUGUCCCGCUUCAGGUGUCCUGGCGCAGGCUUUCAGGGAAGGGAGAGCCCCCUAACCUCGUCCCACCUCCCAAAACUUCUCCCCCUGCCGUUGGGCUAUGGUCCCUGGUUCCCUUCACGCCCCCACCCCCAGCCUCAGCUCUGUCUGGGUGGAACGAAUGUCUGCUAAUGAACUAAACAAACAGGUCUCUUAAUCUUAUCAUGGAGCUGACCCAGAGACUGGCACAGAUAUCCAAAGUAUCAUAAUUGGCAGGUCAGAAUUAAAACUACAUGCAUCAUAGUGACUUUAUAGCUGAGGCAAAGUGGAGCUCAAGUGUUACUUUCCCAGUAAACAAAUCAUAAUGAAGUAUCAUGCUGGUGACUAAUUUAACUAACAUUGUCCAGGAAAUUGCUGUUGUCCAGGAAGAAAAGAGUUGAGCUGUGUGUCAGCUACUGGGCUUCUGGCACCAUCCUGCACAAGCAUUGGAUUAUAAGGGACAUUUCCACAUUCUAACUUUACAUGAAGACUCAGGACUUUGAAAGCCCAUGAGAAA
rnacentral:antisense_RNA from 1 species